AGGCAGCAGUGGGGAAUAUUGCCCAAUGGACGAAAGUCUGAGGCAGCAACGCCGCGUGCGCGAUGAAGGCCUUCGGGUUGUAAAGCGCUUUUCUGGGGGAAGAGAAAGGACGGUACCCCAGGAAUAAGUCUCGGCUAACUACGUGCCAGCAGCCGCGGUAAAACGUAGGAGGCGAGCGUUAUCCGGAUUUACUGGGCGUAAAGCGUGUGCAGGCGGUUUGGUAAGUCGGACGUGAAAGCUCCUGGCUCAACUGGGAGAGGCCGUUCGAUACUGCCAGACUAGAGGGCAGCAGAGGGAGGUGGAAUUCAGGGUGUAGCGGUGAAAUGCGUAGAUAUCCUGAGGAACACCAGUGGCGAAGGCGGCCUCCUGGACUGUCCCUGACGCUAAGACACGAAAGCUAGGGGAGCAAACGGGAUUAGAAACCCCGGUAGUCCUAGCCGUAAACGAUGCAGACUUGGUGUUGGUGGUGUAAAAGCCAUCAGUGCCGCAGCUAACGCGAUAAGUCUGCCGCCUGGGGACUACGACCGCAAGGUUAAAACUCAAAUGAAUUGACGG
rnacentral:rRNA from 1 species